ensembl:rRNA 5S_rRNA 5S ribosomal RNA
UCCGGCAGCAGCUAGCUCUCUGCAACUCUCACGUGGUUGCCCACUGAAGCUAAGCAGGACUGUGCCUGAUCAGUACUUGAAUGGGAGACCACAUGGGAAAGCUAGGUUGCUGCCAGAA